AACGAACGCUGGCGGCAGGCUUAACACAUGCAAGUCGAACGAGAUCUUCGGAUCUAGUGGCAGACGGGUGAGGAACACGUGGGAACAUCCCUUUCAGUUCGGAAUAACGUUGGGAAACUAACGCUAAUACCGGAUACGUCCUUCGGGAGAAAGAUUUAUCGCUGAAGGAUUGGCCCGCGUCUGAUUAGCUAGUUGGUGAGGUAAUGGCUCACCAAGGCUACGAUCAGUAGCUGAUCGGAGAGGAUGAUCAGCCACAUUGGGACUGAGACACGGCCCAAACUCCUACGGGAGGCAGCAGUGGGGAAUAUUGGACAAUGGGCGCAAGCCUGAUCCAGCCAUGCCGCGUGAGUGAUGACGGCCUUCGGGUUGUAAAGCUCUUUUGUCCGGGAAGAUAAUGACUGUACCGGAAGAAUAAGCCCCGGCAAACUUCGUGCCAGCAGCCGCCGUAA
rnacentral:rRNA from 1 species